CCUACGGGCGGCUGCAGUGAGGAAUAUUGGUCAAUGGGCGGGAGCCUGAACCAGCCAAGCCGCGUGAAGGAAGAAGGCGCCACGCGUCGUAAACUUCUUUUGUCGGGGAACAAAGGGCGCCACGUGUGUCGUUUUGAGUGUACCCGAAGAAAAAGCAUCGGCUAACUCCGUGCCAGCAGCCGCGGUAAUACGGAGGAUGCGAGCGUUAUCCGGAUUUAUUGGGUUUAAAGGGUGCGUAGGCGGUCCGGAAAGUCAGCGGUAAAAUUGAGAGGCUCAACCUCUUCGAGCCGUUGAAACUGGUGGCCUUGAGUGAGCGAGAAGUAUGCGGAAUGCGUGGUGUAGCGAUGAAAUGCAUAGAUAUUAGGAGGAACACCAGUGGCGAAGGCGGCUUACUGGACUGUAACUGACGUUGAGGCUCGAAAGCGUGGGGAGCAAACAGGAUUAGAUACCCCAGUAGUC
rnacentral:rRNA from 1 species